UUAAUAUUCCUGUACUUGGUGUUACUGCGAAGGGGGGACGGAGAAGGCUAUGUUGGCCGGGCGACGGUUGUCCCGGUUUAAGCGUGUAGGCUGGUUUUCCAGGCAAAUCCGGAAAAUCAAGGCUGAGGCGUGAUGACGAGGCACUACGGUGCUGAAGCAACAAAUGCCCUGCUUCCAGGAAAAGCCUCUAAGCAUCAGGUAACAUCAAAUCGUACCCCAAACCGACACAGGUGGUCAGGUAGAGAAUACCAAGGCGCUUGAGAGAACUCGGGUGAAGGAACUAGGCAAAAUGGUGCCGUAACUUCGGGAGAAGGCACGCUGAUAUGUAGGUGAAGUCCCUCGCGGAUGGAGCUGAAAUCAGUCGAAGAUACCAGCUGGCUGCAACUGUUUAUUAAAAACACAGCACUGUGCAAACACGAAAGUGGACGUAUACGGUGUGACGCCUGCCCGGUGCCGGAAGGUUAAUUGAUGGGGUUAGCGCAAGCGAAGCUCUUGAUCGAAGCCCCGGUAAACGGCGGCCGUAACUAUAACGGUCCUAAGGUAGCGAAAUUCCUUGUCGGGUAAGUUCCGACCUGCACGAAUGGCGUAAUGAUGGCCAGGCUGUCUCCACCCGAGACUCAGUGAAAUUGAACUCGCUGUGAAGAUGCAGUGUACCCGCGGCAAGACGGAAAGACCCCGUGAACCUUUACUAUAGCUUGACACUGAACAUUGAGCCUUGAUGUGUAGGAUAGGUGGGAGGCUUUGAAGUGUGGACGCCAGUCUGCAUGGAGCCGACCUUGAAAUACCACCCUUUAAUGUUUGAUGUUCUAACGUUGACCCGUAAUCCGGGUUGCGGACAGUGUCUGGUGGGUAGUUUGACUGGGGCGGUCUCCUCCUAAAGAGUAACGGAGGAGCACGAAGGUUGGCUAAUCCUGGUCGGACAUCAGGAGGUUAGUGCAAUGGCAUAAGCCAGCUUGACUGCGAGCGUGACGGCGCGAGCAGGUGCGAAAGCAGGUCAUAGUGAUCCGGUGGUUCUGAAUGGAAGGGCCAUCGCUCAACGGAUAAAAGGUACUCCGGGGAUAACAGGCUGAUACCGCCCAAGAGUUCAUAUCGACGGCGGUGUUUGGCACCUCGAUGUCGGCUCAUCACAUCCUGGGGCUGAAGUAGGUCCCAAGGGUAUGGCUGUUCGCCAUUUAAAGUGGUACGCGAGCUGGGUUUAGAACGUCGUGAGACAGUUCGGUCCCUAUCUGCCGUGGGCGCUGGAGAAUUGAGGGGGGCUGCUCCUAGUACGAGAGGACCGGAGUGGACGCAUCACUGGUGUUCGGGUUGUCAUGCCAAUGGCACUGCCCGGUAGCUAAAUGCGGAAGAGAUAAGUGCUGAAAGCAUCUAAGCACGAAACUUGCCCCGAGAUGAGUUCUCCCUGACUCCUUGAGAGUCCUGAAGGAACGUUGAAGACGACGACGUUGAUAGGCCGGGUGUGUAAGCGCAGCGAUGCGUUGAGCUAACCGGUACUAAUGAACCGUGAGGCUUAACCUUACAACGCCGAAG
rnacentral:rRNA from 1 species